ensembl:rRNA 5S_rRNA 5S ribosomal RNA
GCUUAUGGCCAUACCACCCUGAACAGGGCUGGUCUCGGAAGCUAAGAAGGAUUGGGCUUGGUUAGUACUUGGAUGGGAGACUGCCUGAGAAUACCAGGUGCUGUAAGCU